rnacentral:rRNA from 1 species
UACGUAGGGGGCGAGCGUUUGUCCGGAUUUAUUGGGCGUAAAGGGCGCGUAGGCGGUUUCUUAAGUUUGAAGUGACAGUGGGUGGCUUAACUACCCAAGGCCUUUGAAAACUGGGGAACUUGAGGACCAGAGAGGGACAUAGAAUUCCGGGUGGAGUGGUGAAAUGCGUAGAUAUCCGGAGGAAUACCAAAGGCGAAGGCAGUGUCCUGGAGGGUGACUGACGCUGAGGCGCGAAAGCUAGGGGAGCGAACAGG